rnacentral:sRNA from 1 species
GCCGGGUGUGGUGGCACAUGCCUGUAAUCCCAGAGGCUUGGGAGGCUGAGGCAGGAGGAUCACAAGUUCAAAUCCAGCUUCAGCAAAAGUGAGGUGCUAAGCAACUCAGUGAGACCCUGUCUCUA